rnacentral:sRNA from 1 species
UUUUACCUACAUCACGCGAUAGGGAUUGAAAUGGAAAUCCUUUUUACGUAGCGUGCUAGCGAAGUAAAAAGAUUGUAAUAAAAAGCCCAGCCCGAA